CAGUAGCCACGGUAAAACGUAGGUGGCAAGCGUUGUCCGGAAUUAUUGGGCGUAAAGCGCGCGCAGGCGGAUAGGUCAGUCUGUCUUAAAAGUUCGGGGCUUAACCCCGUGAGGGGAUGGAAACUGCUGAUCUAGAGUAUCGGAGAGGAAAGUGGAAUUCCUAGUGUAGCGGUGAAAUGCGUAGAUAUUAGGAAGAACACCAGUGGCGAAGGCGACUUUCUGGACGAAAACUGACGCUGAGGCGCGAAAGUCAGGGGAGCGAACGGGAUUAGAGACCCCAGUAGUCCCUGUCUCUUAUACA
rnacentral:rRNA from 1 species